rnacentral:rRNA from 1 species
CCUACGGGUGGCAGCAGUGGGGAAUAUUGCACAAUGGGGGAAACCCUGAUGCAGCGACGCCGCGUGAGUGAAGAAGUAUUUCGGUAUGUAAAGCUCUAUCAGCAGGGAAGAGAAUGACGGUACCUGACUAAGAAGCCCCGGCUAACUACGUGCCAGCAGCCGCGGUAAUACGUAGGGGGCAAGCGUUAUCCGGAUUUACUGGGUGUAAAGGGAGCGUAGACGGCUGUACAAGUCUGAAGUGAAAGCCCGUGGCUCAACCGUGGAACUGCUUUGGAAACUGUAAAGCUGGAGUGCUGGAGAGGUAGGCGGAAUUCCUGGUGUAGCGGUGAAAUGCGUAGAUAUUAGGAGGAACACCAGUGGCGAAGGCGGCUUGCUGGACUGAAACUGACGUGGAGGCUCGAAAGCGUGGGGAGCAAACAGGAUUAGAUACCCGUGUAGUC